rnacentral:rRNA from 1 species
UACGAAGGGGGCUAGCGUUGUUCGGAUUUACUGGGCGUAAAGCGCACGUAGGCGGAUCGUUAAGUCAGGGGUGAAAUCCUGGAGCUCAACUCCAGAACUGCCUUUGAUACUGGCGAUCUCGAGUCCGGAAGAGGUGAGUGGAACUCCUAGUGUAGAGGUGGAAUUCGUAGAUAUUAGGAAGAACACCAGUGGCGAAGGCGGCUCACUGGUCCGGAACUGACGCUGAGGUGCGAAAGCGUGGGGAGCAAACAGGG